rnacentral:rRNA from 1 species
GAUUAUGACGUACUUGUACUGAUUGAGAUUUUAACACGAAGUGAGUGGCGAACGGGUGAGUAACACGUGGGUAACCUGCCCAGAAGUAGGGGAUAACACCUGGAAACAGAUGCUAAUACCGUAUAACAGAGAAAACCGCAUGGUUUUCUUUUAAAAGAUGGCUCUGCUAUCACUUCUGGAUGGACCCGCGGCGUAUUAGCUAGUUGGUGAGGUAAAGGCUCACCAAGGCAGUGAUACGUAGCCGACCUGAGAGGGUAAUCGGCCACAUUGGGACUGAGACACGGCCCACACUCCUACGGGAGGCAGCAGUAGGGAAUCUUCCACAAUGGACGCAAGUCUGAUGGAGCAACGCCGCGUGAGUGAAGAAGGGUUUCGGCUCGUAAAGCUCUGUUGUUAAAGAAGAACGUGGGUAAGAGUAACUGUUUACCCAGUGACGGUAUUUAACCAGAAAGCCACGGCUAACUACGUGCCAGCAGCCGCGGUAAUACGUAGGUGGCAAGCGUUAUCCGGAUUUAUUGGGCGUAAAGCGAGCGCAGGCGGUCUUUUAAGUCUAAUGUGAAAGCCUUCGGCUCAACCGAAGAAGUGCAUUGGAAACUGGGAGACUUGAGUGCAGAAGAGGACAGUGGAACUCCAUGUGUAGCGGUGAAAUGCGUAGAUAUAUGGAAGAACACCAGUGGCGAAGGCGGCUGUCUGGUCUGCAACUGACGCUGAGGCUCGAAAGCAUGGGUAGCGAACAGGAUUAGAUACCCUGGUAGUCCAUGCCGUAAACGAUGAUUACUAAGUGUUGGAGGGUUUCCGCCCUUCAGUGCUGCAGCUAACGCAUUAAGUAAUCCGCCUGGGGAGUACGACCGCAAGGUUGAAACUCAAAAGAAUUGACGGGGGGCCCGCACAAGCGGUGGAGCAUGUUGUUUUAAUUCGAAGCUACGCGAAGAACCUUACCAGGUCUUGAC